rnacentral:rRNA from 1 species
UACGAAGGGUACAAGCGUUGUUCGGAAUUACUGGGCGUAAAGCGCGCGUAGGCGGCCGCGUAAGUCGAUUGUGAAAGCCCUGGGCUUAACCUGGGAACUGCAGUCGAAACUGCGUGUCUUGAGUGCCUGAGAGGAUGGCGGAAUUCCCGGUGUAGUAGUGAAAUACGUAGAUAUCGGGAAGAACACCUGAGGCGAAGGCGGCUAUCUGGCGGUGCACUGACGCUGAGGCGCGAAAGCGUGGGGAGCAAACAGG